CGUUCUUAAGAAUUCUUUUCAUUAGAUUUUAUGUCAAUUGAAGUGGAAUACAAGUAAAACAUUAUACAUUGUAAGAAAUAAGCGUAAAACCUACCAUGUCGGUGUAUUCGUAUAUAAGUUGUUUACUUGUAAAAUAUUUUAUAGUUUAGAACAUCUGUUUGCGCCAAAAUGUUAAGUUAUAGUUUGUUACUUGGUUUAUUUUUUGGUGUAGUGAUUCUCUCACUGAUAGCAGAAAAUCAAGUACAUGCGUCACCAGAGCCAUGCAAGGAACUACUAGACUUAAUGAUAAAGCCUGGAAAAAUACAAAAACUGAAAGAAGAUGAAAAAGAGAGGGAUAAUAAACAUAAGAGAAAAAAAGAAAACAUA